GACGAACGCUGGCGGCGUGCUUAACACAUGCAAGUCGAACGGAAAGGCCCUGCUUUUGUGGGGUGCUCGAGUGGCGAACGGGUGAGUAACACGUGAGUAACCUGCCCUUGACUUUGGGAUAACUUCAGGAAACUCGGGCUAAUACCGGAUAGGAGCUCCUGCUGCAUGGUGGGGGUGGGAAAGUUUCGGCGGGUGGGGAUGGACUCGCGGCUUAUCAGCUUGUUGGUGGGGUAGUGGCUUACCAAGGCUUUGACGGGUAGCCGGCCUGAGAGGGUGACCGGCCACAUUGGGACUGAGAUACGGCCCAGUCUCCUACGGGAGGCAGCAGUGGGGAAUAUUGCCCAAUGGGAGGAAGCCUGAUGCAGCAACGCCGCGUGCGGGAUGACGGCCUUCGGGUUGUAAACCGCUUUCGCCUGUGACGAAGCGUGAGUGACGGUAAUGGGUAAAGAAGCACCGGCUAACUACGUG
rnacentral:rRNA from 1 species